GAGAGGGGUUGGAAUUUGAGUUCGAUCAUCUGUGGCUAGUGAGGGAAUCAACCAUGCCUGUGUGAAGACUCGUCCAUGAAAACUCAGAAGGAGAGGGUUCUGGGAGCUUCUGGGCUGGCGAACACGUGGAGUUCGGGGGAGCGUGGCACGCCCCUUUUCCGUCUGGCUGUUCCUGGGUUUGGUCACCAGGAGACAGAGGGUGCAUGUGACUACACCUGGCUGACCAGUGUUGAAAUCUCAGGCUACAAAGGCAGCCUCUUCAGAGGAUGCCAGAGACCCAGAUGCUAAGGGCCAAGGAAUCACUAAUGAAACCAAGCAGGUUUGGUUCCCCGAUCUCCUCUCAAUAAGAACCACCAUUUCCAUUGGCCACAAGUCACAAGGAUCCAUUUGGAAAUACACAAGUUGAAAUUCAUUCUUAUCAACCCACGUGGAGCAUUCCCUUGCUGAAAUAUGUUUCUUUUUUUUUUUCUUUUCUUUUUUUGGUCAUUUGAUAAAGGAGACAUGAAGUAUGAGAAAGAGACAAAGAGACACAGAGAAAAGUUAAGGAACAUCUCCAGGUAGGAUGCAUUACAAAAGCCAUGGAGAGUCACAUUCUUUCAUAGCUCCAUGGCUGCUGCCUCUGCAAAGGGAGACCCACAUGGCGGGAGCAAGGAGGUGCCCGAUGGACAAUGGGCUCCCAGGGGUGGGACUCUGGGACCCUCCUCAAACUCUGCUCUUUCCAGGACUGAGGCACUGCCCCCUCCCCACACCUACAGCACUGCCUCCCCCUAGUGCCAGCCGUGGCUGCACACAGGUCUGUCUGCACGAAUUGGUAAUUACCACCCUGAGGAAACCUGAUCAACCCAUUGUAAUGAGAGCUGGACUUCCCUAGGAGAAGUCUCUUUGGUGGAUCUACUCACUGAGGAAAAUAUGGAACACCCUGAUGGGACAGAGAAACUCCUCGAGAACCGAGUUCUGGGCUGGCCUCACCUCCAGAACUGGUGGGAAUGGACCACUGAGCUUCCCAGUGGCCCUGGCCCAGUUCUAGGCCAGGUCUGCUGGAUGGAUCCCACUUGCCACCUUGAUAAUGGUUGAGGCAUAGUUUGGAGAUGACUCCAAAUACAAAUAAAACUCAUUUGCACCGUGGAUCUAUUUAUCAGCAGCUUAAAUGUUGAAAUACUUAAACCUGACUUUCAAUCUUUCCCAGGAAUUUUUUUUAAAACCUGAAUACUCCAAAUUAUCCACAGUGGCAAAUGAACUCUGGAAUGGCAUGAAAAAUGAGCAAAAUUCUGAACUGAAUACUUAACGAAUGUCAAAAACAAGACAUGAAUUUGGACAGCAAUAAUUUUGGGUUAUCACCAAUGUCAAGUUGAAUUCAUAUAUGUGUUCAUAUAUUAUAUAUAUAUCUUCUUUAGAAAUGCAACUUUACAGCUGAUUUUUAAAAAGCUAAUAGAAAAGUAGAAACUGGCAAUUAUUUUCACAUGUUGCCCCACCCCCCAACCCCUCAAAUGAAGCCCUGUUAGAUAUAGUGAUCGUAUGAAGACGAGGCUGUCAAUUCCUCUAUCAACUCUUUGGUUCUGUGGCUCGGGUGAGGAUGCGUCAUCACGACCCCUAACCCUGACCCUCACUCCCUUUCCCUCCCCUGAUGGUGAGACUAAAUACAGAAGGAACCAAGUCUAAAAAAUAAGCAAAGAAGAUUCAAGUGACAGCAUUAUUCCCCACACUCUACGGAGCAGAGAGGAGAGAAUCCCUCAGUAUCCCAACAUCUUAAACUCGGAGUCCACGGAACCUUUUGAGAGAUUCCAUGUUGGGGUAGAAAGCCAUAGAACAAAAUUAAAGGGAAACAAUAAAAUCAAAUAAAUGACCUUUUCCUUUUGUUGCUCAGAAACAAAAUUGAUUACCUUUACACAGAUCAAUGGCGUUAUUAGCAUUUUAGCCAGGCAAGAGGAGAUAAUGAACUGAAACAAAAGGUGUGAGAAAUCCUCAUCUUUGGUAUUGUAGCUGUUGAGGUUUCUGUUGCUCUGUUCCGUGUUCUUUUGAAAACUGCAUAGGCACAAAUUAAAGACAAUCUUCAACUUUAA